rnacentral:rRNA from 1 species
GAUCAUGGCUCAGGAUGAACGCUAGCUACAGGCUUAACACAUGCAAGUCGAGGGGCAGCAUUUCAGUUUGCUUGCAAACUGGAGAUGGCGACCGGCGCACGGGUGAGUAACACGUAUCCAACCUGCCGAUAACUCGGGGAUAGCCUUUCGAAAGAAAGAUUAAUACCCGAUGGUAUAAUCAGACCGCAUGGUCUUGUUAUUAAAGUAAUUUCGGUUUAUCGAUGGGGUAGUGCGUUCCUAUUAGG